rnacentral:RNase_P_RNA from 1 species
UGAGCCAACUGGGCGGUCGCGGCUUGUGAACUGCAUCGAGAUCGAUGUGGGCAGAAGUCGAGGAAAGUCCGGACUCCAGAGAGCACGGUGGUUGCUAACGGCAACCCGGGGCGACCCGCGGGAUAGUGCCACAGAAAAGAAACCGCUGAUGGGUAACCAUGAGUAAGGGUGAAAGGGUGCGGUAAGAGCGCACCAGCGAGUUGGGUGACCAACUCGGCUAGGUAAACCCCACCGGGAGCAAGGCAAGACGCUGCACGACGCGAUAGUGCCUGUGCAGCCGCACGGAUGGUGAAGGGCUGCUCGCCUUAAUCCGGAGGUAGCUGCUUGAGGUAAUCAGCAAUGAUUACCCUAGAUGGAUGGUCGCCACCCCACGGGGUACAGAAUCCGGCUUAUAGGUUGGCUCAUUUG